rnacentral:rRNA from 1 species
UACGGGGGGGGCAAGCGUUGUUCGGAAUUACUGGGCGUAAAGGGCUCGUAGGCGGCCAACUAAGUCGGAUGUGAAAUCCCCAGGCUCAACUUGGGAACUGCAUCCGAUACUGGAUGGCUUGAAUUCGGGAGAGGGAUGCAGAAUUCCAGGUGUAGCGGUGAAAUGCGUAGAUAUCUGGAGGAACACCGGUGGCGAAGGCGGCAUCCUGGACCAUUACUGACGCUGAGUGAGCGAAAGCCAGGGGAGCAAACGGG